AGUAAAAGUCGUAACAAGGUUUCCGUAGGUGAACCUGCGGAAGGAUCAUUAUCGAAUAAACUGGGUGGGUUGUUGCUGUCCCUCUCGGGGGAACUGUGCACGCCUUACCUUUUUUGUUUUUCCACCUGUGAACACACUGUAGGUCUGUAGGGAAGGGAAGCAAUUCCUUGACGUUCAGGUCCUAUGCUUAUACAUAUACACUAUUGAAAGUAACAGAACGAUUCAAUGGGCUCUAAGCCUAUAAACUAUAUACAACUUUCAGCAACGGAUCUCUUGGCUCUCGCAUCGAUGAAGAACGCAGCGAAAUGCGAUAAGUAAUGUGAAUUGCAGAAUUCAGUGAAUCAUCGAAUCUUUGAACGCACCUUGCGCUCUUUGGUAUUCCGAAGAGCAUGCCUGUUUGAGUGUCAUUAAAUUCUCAACCUCAUCGCUUUUGUGAUGAUGGCUUGGAUGUGGAGGUUUCUGCAGGCCGAAAGGUCUGCUCCUCUCAAAUGAAUUAGUGGGUGCCCCGCGCAAACCUAUCUAUUGGUGUGAUAAUUAUCUACGCCGUGGUCUAGGAUUGCUGUAAAAAGGUGUUUGCCCUGCUUCUAACCGUCCAUUGACUUGGACAACUUGAACCAUUUGACCUCAAAUCAGGUAGGACUACCCGCUGAACUUAAGCAUAUCAAUAAGCGGAGGA
rnacentral:rRNA from 1 species